ACUCAAAUGAAUUGACGGGGGCCCGCACAAGCAGCGGAGCGUGUGGUUUAAUUCGAUGAUACGCGAAGAACCUUACCUGGGUUUGACAUUAAGGUAGUAGCGCGGUGAAAGCCAAGCGACCCUUCGGGGAGCCUUAACAGGUGCUGCAUGGCUGUCGUCAGCUCGUGUCGUGAGAUGUUGGGUUAAGUCCCGCAACGAGCGCAACCCUCGUCGUUAGUUACAAGUGUCUAACGAGACUGCUGGUAUCAAACCGGAGGAAGGUGGGGAUGACGUCAAGUCAGCAUGGUCUUUAUAUCCAGGGCUACACACACGCUACAAUGGCCGGUACAAUAGGUUGCCACACCGCAAGGUGGCGCUAAUCCUAAAAGCCGGUCUCAGUUCAGAUUGCCGUCUGCAACUCGACGGCAUGAAGGUGGAGUUGCUAGUAACCGCGCGUCAGCCAUAGUGCGGUGAAUGCGUUCCCGGGCCUUGUACACACCGCCCGU
rnacentral:rRNA from 1 species